UUGAGCUGUAUACUAUGAAAGUAGUACGUACAGUUCUGAGUGGGGGAAAAUUUGUAAAGAUCUACCUAUCACAAU
rnacentral:ncRNA from 1 species